AUUGAACGCUGGCGGCAGGCCUCACACAUGCAAGUCGAGCGGAGCGGCGGACGGGUGAGUAAUGCCUAGGAAUCCGCCUCGUAGUGGUGGAUAAGGUCCGGAAACGGGCGCUAAAACCGCAUCCUAUCAGAUUAGCCUAGGGCGGGUUAGCUAGUUGGUGGGGUAAAGGCCUACCAAGGCGACGCUCCGUAACUGGUCUGAGAGGAUGAUCAGUCACACUGGAACUGAGACACGGUCCAGACUCCUACGGGAGGCAGCAGUGGGGAAUAUUGGACAAUGGGCGAAAGCCUGAUCCAGCCAUGCCGCGUGUGUGAAGAAGGUCUUCGGAUUGUAAAGCACUUUAAGUUGGGAGGCGUUACCAACAGAAUAAGCACCGGCUAACUUCGUGCCAGCAGCCGCGGUAAUAC
rnacentral:rRNA from 1 species